GUCUCUGUGGUGCAAUUGGUUAGCGCAUUGGGCUGUUAACCGAAAGGUUGGUGGUUCAAUCCCAUUGAGGGACG